rnacentral:rRNA from 1 species
CAAUAGCGUAUAUUAAAGUUGUUGCAGUUAAAAAGCUCGUAGUUGGAUUUGUGGCGUACGGUGUGUUCCGGGCACUUGUUGUCUGAGUAACCUGCUGUUGCCAUCCUUGGGUGGAACCUGUGUGGCAUUAGGUUGUCGUGCAGGGGAUGCCCAUCAUUUACUGUGAAAAAAUUAGAGUGUUCAAAGCAGGCUUAUGCCGUUGAAUAUAUUAGCAUGGAAUAAUGAGAUAGGACUUUUUUGCUACUUUGUUGGUUUGCGCAAAGAGGUAAUGAUUAAUAGGGACAGUUGGGGGUAUUCGUAUUCCAUUGUCAGAGGUGAAAUUCUUGGAUUUUUGGAAGACGAACUACUGCGAAAGCAUUUACCAAGGAUGUUUUCAUUAAC